CCCUUAGAUGUUCUGGGCAGCACGCGCGCUACAAUGGUCUUCGCAAACGGAUGCAUUCUCGAAGGAGAAUGCCAAUCUUGGAAUCUAUGCCUUGGUCGGGACAGUUGCUUGCAAUUUUUCGACUCGAACCAGGAAUUCCUUGUAAUCGUGAUUCAUCACAUCACGAUGAAUACGUCCCUGCCCUUUGUACACACCGCCCGUCGCACCUACCGAUUGAAUGGUCCGGUGAAAUCUUCGGACCGGGAACAGCGACCUCUGGCGUGGGCUUGCUCACUCAGGGGACGCUGUCCCGGGAAGUUGCUUAAAUCUUACCAUUUAGAGGAAGGUGAAGUCGUAACA
rnacentral:rRNA from 1 species